ensembl:lncRNA
CAUCAGGAAUUCAGGAACAGAGAAAGUCUAAAGGAUGAGCCUCAGAGUCUGGUAUGCAGGAAUGUGCCCCCCCUCGGCGGCUCCGAGGAGGAGGAAGAGGAAGAGGAGGGGGUUUUGCGUGUUCCCGUCGUUUCUCCAUCCAGACUGAUUCACAUUAUCUCCAACUGCACAUGAGCGAAGGCCUGGAAACAGCACAGAGACUUUUGUUUUUUUACCCGAUGUGUUUACUCGUGCUUCUUGUGUAACUUUGCCGUGUUGUCCCCGCGUCUGAAGUGGACUCGCUGGUGCGUGUCCAGCAGGGCCUUGUGAGCACGUCUCUCUCUCUGUAGCUGCUGUCGCUCUGUCAGCCCUGCACUGCUCGUCCGGAGACGUGCAUCCUCUCACCAGUGCAUCACCGCUCUAACUGACACUUUAGCUUGUUUCACCGCGAAGAAGGAAGUUGAGAUGUCCCUCUUUGUCCCCGCCCACUCCUGACACUGUUUACUCAGGUGUAAUUUAUUCAGACUGAAUUAGACCUUUGCUGCGGCCGGCAUGUGCAGAGGGAGAGGAGACGUUUGGGGAAGUGUAUGAUUUUGUGAACAGAAACGAUCUUCCUGUCUGUGUUUUUAGAAGUUGGACUUGGGCUUCCCUCAAUCUUGCUGAGCUAAAUUUGUAUCCUCUUCCUAACUGAAAAUACAAGCUCGCAAAAAAAGGAAGAAAAAAGAGGGAACGUGGCCCAUCACGACUUGAAGGAGACACUCGUCUGUGUCGGCUUUCAGAUGAUGAUUUCUGUCUGUUCUUAUCUGUCUCAGGGUCAUGUGUACUUGCUGAAGGAAGGGUUACAUCUUUUGUUAUCGCUCGUCUGAAAACAGAUUUCAUUCUAGUGAAUGUACUUUUUUUUUUGUGAUACAAACUCUUCUUUAUGUCGUUUUGCCAAGUGGAAAAUGUCUGAUUGUGCUUAAAAGCGUCGGUCAUAUCUGAAACAGAAAUGUUGCCAAAACCUGAAUAUCUAACUUUAGUGUUGUUAUGGAUUUAAAUAACAAAACUUAGUGUGAUAGCCUUGUAGCUGCAAUAGUGAUUUUUUCUUUCCGUGUCUACAGAAGUCUUUGGUGUGUAUAGUUUUGUACAUUUGCCUCGUAAUUCAUUUGUAGAAGGUUUUAAAUUUGCACAACUCUCUUAAUUGUCUUAAUUUUGUAUCUUUUGUCUUAACCCGGUCGGGUAGUGUGAGUAAUCGAAGCCUUUUUGUAGCAAAUCGUCAAAAAUAUGUUAAUUUGCUCUCUGUGCAAGUCUCCGAUGUAUGGCAGUAUACUCUAGAUAUACUGAUAUAUUAAGCUAUUACUGAAACAGUCUGUUACUACUUGUUCUAUAGUUUGUUACUUUUCAAUAAAUGUCAUCUUGUUGGA